UGGAGCUUAACAUUAUAUUCCCUAUCCCUAUUCCAUUAGCCGCAUUUCCUAUUGUCCAACCAAAGCUCUUGAUCUGUCAUUUUUCUUUCUCUUGGCAUGGUUUUAACACCUUCUGAGUAGGGUGAUUCUCCUUGUGGCCCUUUAAGUUUGCCCAGUAUGUUAGCGCUAAUUGGGUUCUUCUGAUUUCCAGUGGCAUUUCAUUCAUUUCCACCUGCAAGGCUGAUACUGGAGUAGUUUUUAUGGCACCACAGCAGAGUCUCAAGGCCUGAUAUUGUAUAGUAUCCAAUUUCUUUAAUAAUGUUUUGAUGCUGAUUAGUAAACUAUGCUGCUAUAGUCUAGCACUACCCUGAUUAAUCCAAUAUAUACAGUUUUCAGAGAAAUCCUGCUUGCUCCCCACUCUCUACCCCUCAAACACCUUAAAAUAUUCAGUACCUUUUUACACUUUUCAACCACUUUCCCUAUAUGCAUAUACCAGGUAAGAUUCUUGUCGAACCAAAUACCUAAAUACUUGAACUGUUCUACUCUCUCUAAACUUUCUCCAUAGAGUUCAAGUUUAAUCUGGUCGUGAAUUUUCCUUUUUGUGAAAAAUACAGCCUUUGUCUUUACCACUGAAAAUCGAAAACCCCACUCUAUUGCCCAGCCCUCUACUUUCCUUAUUGCCUCUUGCACUUUCCUGACUACAUAGUCUAUAUUCCUUCCCUUUUUCCACAUAACUCCGUCAUCUGAAAAUAGUGCGACACCUAUCGACCCAUCUAUACUACUAAACACUUCAUUUAUCAUGAUCGAGAACAGAACUGGACUGAUUAUACUCCCAUGAGGAUUUCCAUUUUCCACCAAAUAUUUGGAACUAUAUUCUUUUCCUACCCUUAGUGAUAUCCACCUCGCUGUUAAGAAGUUUUUAACCCAUCUACACAUUCUCCUUUUUAUUCCCAUUUGAUGUAACUUUAUCAUUAACCCUUCCUUCCACAACAUGUCAUACGCCUUCUCAACAUCAAAGAAUACAGCUACUAAACACUCUUAUUAAUUUGAGCUUUCCUAAUUUCGUUUUCUAAACACAGAGCCGUAUCAAUUGUGCUUCUUCCUUUUCUAAAUCCACUUUGGUAAUUCUUUGACUCUUUCCAUUGACUUGGUAAACAUCUCUCUUCCCAUACUUUAUUAUAUAAUCCUAAUAAUAUUCCUUUACUGCUAUCACUUAAGUUUCCUAGCAUACAAUAACUUAUUUGGUCUCUCCCUGGCGUUGCUUUCCCCGACUUUCUUAAUGCAUUAUUAGCUCUCUUAUAGUAAACAACAUGUUUAUUGCACUUCUGUCUUCCUCAACAUCCUGCAGAGCUUCUACAUUUUUCCUAUUGUUCUAUCUCUUUGUUUCUUUUCCUCAUUAUUCAAAUUUUCAGCACUAUGUACCUUAACAAAUGUCCUUGCUAAUAACUCUGCUUUCUCCUUACCUUCUAUUACUACAUUCCUCCCAUCUUUCAUUAUAGGAUAUCCAUACUCUUUUCUGUUUCCAGACAUCCUCUUAAUCAUCCCCCAUACUCGUUCUAAUGGUGUAGUCCUUCCUAGUGAGUCACAGUACCUCUUCCAAAAUUCCCUUUUAACUCUCUUUACUGUACUCCUAACUACUGCCUGCUUUCUUUUAUAGUCAAUAAGAUUCUGAAAAUUAUGCGUUUUCUUCAAGAUUCUAAAGGCCUUAUUUCGAUUUUUUAUUGCAGAAUUGCAUCCUUGUGUCCACCACGGAACUAUCUUUUUCCUUUUCCUACCGUUUCUUUUUGGUAUUGACUCUUCUGCUGCUCCUACAGUUCAUCUCUGCAUUGAGGUCAUCAAUUAUCUGGUUCAUAUUUAUCUCCUUUAAUUUCCCUUCAGUUAUUAUUCUAUACUUGUUCCAGUUUGCUUCUUCAAAUUUCCAUCUUCCUUUUCUCUCAUCCUGUUCUACUUCAAUACUUGUGAAUAUAGGAUUGUGGUAGUUUGCCACCUGAUCUCCCCCAGCCCUGUGUUCUCUGUUGUUUUCCCCUUCCUGAUGUGUCUUGUGCGUCCCCUAGUUGUCCUUGGAUGUGUAUGUGUGUGUGUUUGUCACAUGGUCUGGCUCUGUGGGCUCCACACCUGCUGCUGAUCACCGGCUCACCUGUCUUCUAUCACUCAUCAGUCUCCAGUUAAAUACCUGGCUCUCCCACUACACCAACGCCAGAUCGUCCAUGUACACUAGAUUAUCCUGUGCCAGUGAUUGCUGUCGUCUCUGCUCCUGUCUGGAUUCCUGUUUGCCUGCCUGCCUCUCCAAUACUCCGCUGUGCUUCUCCUCAUCUACCUCUCUACAGAGCCAGACCUUGGGGAUCCAUCCUGCUCUGUGUUGGUGAUCACGCUGACGGCCGGUCUCUACCCCCCUCCGCCACCAGUCUCCUCACCAAGGUUAACAUUACCUUCCCUGAAGUCUUCGAAGACUACGUGGAGGACUCUGCUCCGGAGAUCUUCCCUCUUUCCCCCCUCUGCCUUGCUUGUCAAUAAAGAGUGACUUACUUAA